UUUUGCUGUGCUUGACCAUUAUGGAGAGGUUCGUGGAGCUGUACAAAAUCAAGAGCGGCAUAGGAGGGCUAACUAGGCUCAUAAGAUGCUUCGGAGAUGAUAGCCCUACACAAAGGAAGAGGACAGAGGACCUCAUUUUCUAAAGGAAGAUCCCUCACACACUUUCAAGACUGUGAAGCCGACAGGUAUUGAAGACACGUUUUCUAAGAGGAUGAAAGUUGGCAUUGCGAUGGUGAAAGAAGAAGACAUCAUCGAUGUGUUGGUUGUCCUUGAGGCGGCAGUAAUCCUGUCUAAUCUGAGCGAUGUCUCAAGUGCCAUUUCCAUGCUGAUGGGCCUUCUUUUUGCCCUCAACAUAGACUAUCCAAAGGAACUUAAGGACAUCUUUGAAGUCAUUCAGAACAUCCUAAUGAACAUUGGUGGAAGGCAGUGCAUCUCACUAGUGCAUGGUCUAAGAAACAGACUCUUGGAGAAAGCCAUGCAGAACUGUAAUUGUAUGCUCCUUAGUGUUAAGGACAGUUUUUAUUUUACUGUUUGUUUUUUUUAUUCUUGGAAGUUCUCAUUCUCACUUUUGUAUGUCACUAAAUGACUACACUUUACAAAAUUCCAGAUUAGACAAUUACUCAUUUGUUCAUGGUUUAAGAAACUUAUGUGAACAACAAUAUAAUGGUGGACUUUGCAGAUGCUUAUCUCAUGCAAGUCAGUAGUUUUUCCUUUGUUUUGCAAUUGAGCAGACUCAAACUGAUGUUUCUGAAAUAUUCAUAUUAUCAAAUGUUUCAGAAGCAUGCACUCAUUUUCAGAGAUAUUGGUUCUGUGGAAUUUGUUGCAAUUGUAAACAAAGACAAAUACAAGAGUUUGAUGUCUUACUUGUUAUAAACUGAUCUUUACUGUCACUUAUCAAAGGUUUUGUACUAUUUUAAUAUUUCAAGUUUUAUGCUAACAGGUGUGACUGAGCACAAUGAAGUUUAAAAAUUUUGUAAAUGUAAAGAAUAACUUUUCUAAAAUAGCAAGUGUCCCAUUGAUACAUUACAUUAAUGCAGACUUUAUGUUGUUACUUCACAAGAAUCACUACUGCUCCGAGAGUAUUGGUCAGAAUUUAAUCUUCACCCAAACUGGGCUCAAGACCAAGUUCAAAUUUAUUGUUUCACAGGGAGCAGCCUUUGAGUUUUGAUGGAUUGUGAGCCUGAUGAGCUACGUCACUGAUUUUUCUGUUUCUCAGAUGACUAAGAUGGCACAAUAAAUGGUGAAUGUUGGG
ensembl:lncRNA